CCCCCAACAGGGACAGCACACCCAGGAUGAUCUCGGGCAGCGGCGAGAAGAUGCUCCGCGUGAACAGGAUGUAGGCGCUGAAGAAGGUGAAGGCAUAGCCGGCCACAUGGACGGCCGCCACUCCCUGGCCGCGAACGCAGAGGGCAUCAUAAAAUUGUUCUGAAGUUUGUAACUCAGUAAAGGAGACAUCGCAAAAAUAUUCAUGAUCAUCUUCUUAAAAAAUCUUGUCGAUCGGAAGACUAUAUCCUAUAGCUGUCAAAGCAACAAUUAGCCUUAAAUAAUGGUUUUCUUUCUCGUUACGGUUGAUAACAAAGCCAUAUACUUUGGCAAAUUAAAUUUUCGUUAAAAUCCAAGAAAUAGAUAUUCAUCACUCAACUCGGCUGCGAAGAUGAUGCCCCCGGUGACCGAGAUGAAAAUGCCACUCAGCAGCAGGGAGGCGGAGGCCAUCGCCUUGCGUCCGAUGCGAUCUUGCAGGGCGAUGAUCAGCAGGCAGGCCGGCAGAAUUGCGGUGGCGCUCAG